GAUGAACGCUAGCGGCAGGCCUAAUACAUGCAAGUCGAACGAGAUUACGAGGCUUGCUUCUUAUGAAAGUGGCGCACGGGUGCGUAACGCGUAUGCAACCUACCUUAAUCAGGGGGAUAGCCCGAAGAAAUUCGGAUUAAGACCGCAUAAAAACACAGGAUAGCAUUAUCCAAUGUUCAAAUAUUUAUAGGAUUAAGAUGGGCAUGCGUGUCAUUAGCUAGUUGGCGGGGUAACGGCCCACCAAGGCGACGAUGACUAGGGGAUCUGAGAGGAUGACCCCCCGCACUGGUACUGAGACACGGACCAGACUCCUACGGGAGGCAGCAGUAAGGAAUAUUGGUCAAUGGAGGGAACUCUGAACCAGCCAUGCCGCGUGCAGGAAGACAGCCCUCUGGGUCGUAAACUGCUUUUAUUCGGGAAUAAACCUUUCUACGUGUAGGAAGCUGAAUGUACCGAAGGAAUAAGGAUCGGCUAACUCCGUG
rnacentral:rRNA from 1 species